GACGAACGCUGGCGGCGUGCUUAACACAUGCAAGUCGAACGGAAAGGCCCUGCUUUUGUGGGGUGCUCGAGUGGCGAACGGGUGAGUAACACGUGAGUGACCUGCCCUUGACUUUGGGAUAACUUCAGGAAACUGGGGCUAAUACCGGAUAGGAGCUCCUGCUGCAUGGUGGGGGUUGGAAAGUUUCGGCGGUUGGGGAUGGACUCGCGGCUUAUCAGCUUGUUGGUGGGGUAGUGGCUUACCAAGGCUUUGACGGGUAGCCGGCCUGAGAGGGUGACCGGCCACAUUGGGACUGAGAUACGGCCCAGACUCCUACGGGAGGCAGCAGUGGGGAAUAUUGCACAAUGGGCGGAAGCCUGAUGCAGCAACGCCGCGUGCGGGAUGACGGCCUUCGGGUUGUAAACCGCUUUCGCCUGUGACGAAGAGUGAGUGACGGUAAUGGGUAAAGAAGCACCGGCUAACUACGUG
rnacentral:rRNA from 1 species